UUUACGGAGAGUUUGAUCCUGGCUCAGGAUGAACGCUGGCGGCGUGCUUAACACAUGCAAGUCGAACGGUGAAGCAGGAGCUUGCUCCUGUGGAUCAGUGGCGAACGGGUGAGUAACACGUGAGCAAUCUGCCCCGAACUCUGGGAUAAGCGUUGGAAACGACGUCUAAUACCGGAUACGAGCUUCAGCCGCAUGGCUAGGAGUUGGAAAGAAUUUCGGUUCGGGAUGAGCUCGCGGCCUAUCAGGUUGUUGGUGAGGUAAUGGCUCACCAAGCCUACGACGGGUAGCCGGCCUGAGAGGGUGACCGGCCACACUGGGACUGAGACACGGCCCAGACUCCUACGGGAGGCAGCAGUGGGGAAUAUUGCACAAUGGGCGCAAGCCUGAUGCAGCAACGCCGCGUGAGGGACGACGGCCUUCGGGUUGUAAACCUCUUUUAGCAGGGAAGAAGCGAGAGUGACGGUACCUGCAGAAAAAGCACCGGCUAACUACGUGCCAGCAGCCGCGGUAAUACGUAGGGUGCAAGCGUUAUCCGGAAUUAUUGGGCGUAAAGAGCUCGUAGGCGGUUGGUCGCGUCUGCUGUGAAAUCCCGAGGCUCAACCUCGGGUCUGCAGUGGGUACGGGCCAGCUAGAGUGCGGUAGGGGAGAAUGGAAUUCCUGGUGUAGCGGUGGAAUGCGCAGAUAUCAGGAGGAACACCGAUGGCGAAGGCAGUUCUCUGGGCCGUUACUGACGCUGAGGAGCGAAAGCGUGGGGAGCGAACAGGAUUAGAUACCCUGGUAGUCCACGCCGUAAACGUUGGGCGCUAGAUGUGGGGACCAUUCCACGGUUUCCGUGUCGCAGCUAACGCAUUAAGCGCCCCGCCUGGGGAGUACGGCCGCAAGGCUAAAACUCAAAGGAAUUGACGGGGGCCCGCACAAGCGGCGGAGCAUGCGGAUUAAUUCGAUGCAACGCGAAGAACCUUACCAAGGCUUGACAUAUACGAGAACGCUGCAGAAAUGUAGAACUCUUUGGACACUCGUAUACAGGUGGUGCAUGGUUGUCGUCAGCUCGUGUCGUGAGAUGUUGGGUUAAGUCCCGCAACGAGCGCAACCCUCGUUCUAUGUUGCCAGCACGUUAUGGUGGGAACUCAUAGGAGACUGCCGGGGUCAACUCGGAGGAAGGUGGGGAUGACGUCAAAUCAUCAUGCCCCUUAUGUCUUGGGCUUCACGCAUGCUACAAUGGCCGGUACAAAGGGCUGCGAUACCGUAAGGUGGAGCGAAUCCCAAAAAGCCGGUCUCAGUUCGGAUUGAGGUCUGCAACUCGACCUCAUGAAGUCGGAGUCGCUAGUAAUCGCAGAUCAGCAACGCUGCGGUGAAUACGUUCCCGGGCCUUGUACACACCGCCCGUCAAGUCAUGAAAGUCGGUAACACCCGAAGCCGGUGGCCCAACCCUUGUGGAGGGAGCCGUCGAAGGUGGGAUCGGUAAUUAGGACUAAGUCGUAACAAGGUAGCCGUACCGGAAGGUGCGGCUGGAUCACCUCCUUUCUAAGGA
rnacentral:rRNA from 1 species